rnacentral:snRNA from 1 species
AUACUUCAGCAGCACAUAUACUAAAAUUUGAACGAUAAAGCAUGGCCCCUGUGCAAAGAUGACAUACAAAUUUGUGAAACCUUCCAUAUUUAA